UUCUCAGAAGUGAAUGUCAACUUCCUGAUGUUUAUACUCAAGGAGAAUGAGGUUUGGAGAUCUGAGUAGUUUACUGAAGGCACUCACAUUGAAAGAUUUUAUGAAGCUGAAAUUCAAAUCUAGAUGUGCCCCAUCCAAAGACCACCCUCUUUAUACAGCAACAUGCUGCUUCCCCUGGAUCAAGAAACACAAGAUUUGGAUAUUGGUGAACGAAAAGAGCUU
rnacentral:lncRNA from 1 species